CACCACCCCUUUACGGAUGAAUGUUUAUAGUUGUUUUCAUUCGAAGUUUCACUCCAAUGAGGCCGAGUUCAAACGCCUCGAAAAGGUGUUUAAUAUAAGGGUUGGGUGGGAAGGAUUUUUCUGAGCAACAAGUCAAGUCAAUAUUCUGACUCUUAACAAAACUGCAGAAUAUUCGGGCUUCUUUACAGGCAAAACAAAAGAGUAACUGUAGACCUCAAUCACGUCAGUGAGCCAGAUCACCAUUUCUCAGUCCCAGCUAACAUCAGAAAAAGAUGUUAUGUGUCACUGUCAGGAGUGGACAGAAUGCUCAACCCCACCCCAACUGGAUCGUUCCCCCCUUAGGGAUCUGCCCGCCGCAAGGACACCAGGACAAGACGGUGAUCCCGGCACUACAGGUCAAGAGGGACCGCACGCAAUCCAAACCUUCCCCGA